UACAUGAGACUCUUUCAAAAAUCCUAAAGGAAAAGGAGGAAGAGGAAGAGGAAGAGGAAGAGGAGAAAACAAAAGGCUCCCAAUACCCAAGCACUAAGCUGGUCACAGAACACACGCCUGUCCUAUAAUCCUUCAGAAUCUGAGGCCGUUCUGUGGGAACUGCAUUGCAGCCUCUUGGCCUCCCGCUGCCUAUACAUCCUCUAUCUGGCUGCCAGGCCUACCACAGGCUAGAGACGGAAGCCUGAAGAUGCAUUGCCUCAGCUAACCUGAGAGGGACCCUGUCCUUAGCCCUCUGCAUAUGAAGGCUGGAAUCGGAAGACCUCAGAGACCUGCCACGCCCCUUGGACGAAGAGAGCUGAGCCUACAGCAUCCCAGUUAGAUCCCUGGACUCCUUGAUCAAGGAAUCUGAGAGGCUUCAGCCAGCAAGGACUCUGAGGUAUGGCAGCAAUGGGAUGGGCCAACCAGGAAUGCUACUUCUAGAAAACGCUCCCCUUUACCCAGUGUAGCCAUAACGCUUUGGAGGAUGGCGGGGUACCAGGUCCAAUGCCAGGCAUGUGUGCAGGUUGCUAACUUAACCCUGGCCUCACUCUGUCCAGAAAGCUGACUCUCCAUGCUCUAUGUAGUCGCCAAGCCAAGUGGAUACUUUUCUGUCUAGGCAGGGCUUGAUGUUCAAGCCUGAUUGGGCUGAGUGGAGACCUGCA